rnacentral:lncRNA from 1 species
AUAAUUAAUUAGAUCUGCGUCUCCUUUUUGGAUUAGUUUCUUUUUUGGUUCUGUUAUCAAAUCAAAUAAAAAAUCUCCUUCUCGGAAAUGGCAUCACCGAUCCAACAACAACAACGCUCGACUACUACAAGUUCUGGAUCUGAAGGAGGAGAUCCGCAUAUCAUCGAUGAGAGGAAGCGGAAGAGGAUGCUGUCGAACCGCGAGUCGGCGCGGCGAUCGCGGAUGAGGAAGCAGAAACAGCUGGAGGAUCUGACCGAUGAAGUUAGCAGAUUGCAAAGCGCGAACAAGAAGCUUGCGGAGAACAUAGAGGCC